GUAUUGGUGGUAGUGGUGGUGGUGAAAGUGGUGGUGUUGGUGGUAGUGGUGAUGAUGGAGGUGGUGAUGGUGGUGGUAGUGGUGGUGAUGGAUGUGGUGGUGAUGGUGAAAAUGGUGGUGGUGGAGAAAGUUGUGAAAUUGGUGGUGGUAGUGGUGGUAGUGGUGGUGGUGAAAGUGGUGGUGGUGGUGAUGGUGGUGGUGCUUGUGAAAGUGGUGAUGGUGGUGGUAGUGGUGGUGAUGGAGGUGGUGGUGGUAGUGGUGGUGAUGGAGGUGGUGGUGAAGUGGUGAAAGUGGUCGUGGAGAAAGUGGUGAAAUUGGUGGUGGUAGUGGUGGUGGUGAAAGUGGUGGUGGUGGUGGUAGUGGUGAUGAUGGAGGUGGUGAUGGUGGUGGUAGUGGUGGUGAUGGAUGUGGUGGUGGUGGUGAAAAUGGUGGUGGUGGAGAAAGGUGUGAAAGUGGUGGUGGUAGUGGUGAAAGUGGUGAUGGUGGUGGUUGUGAAAGUGGUGAUGGCGGUGGUGGUUGUGAAAGUGGUGAUCUCUACAUCACUGUAGAGAUCUACAUACAGUGAUG
ensembl:lncRNA